ensembl:lncRNA
GCUUCUAGAAGCUUCUGAGCGGCUAACAGGAAGUUGGCGUCUCACAGGCAAGCAAACACUUUGCUCGGCUAAAUGCUACGGUAAGGGACAUUUUACUACCGUCUGUGGCCAAAAUGAAUCCCUGUUGUGGAUGUUCUUUGGUUCGACAAAGGUUUUACCGGAGAGGAGUGAGCCGUAACUUGACGUCAUAGCUGUUGAAUCUGAAGACUUUUUUUCUGUCGAGACGCUAUUUUACUUUAGCCAAGAGAGAAACUGUGGAUCAAAGACGUUAAACAGCCGUGGCCGCUGAGCCCGACUACGCUAAUGAGGUGGAACAAGGUCGUUCUGGUCCUUUGACUUGUCAGGAAAACCCACACAGCGACUGAGGCCUCAUCAGGAGUCCGUGUGAGCCUCCAAUCCCCCCCCAGGUUCCCUCACCACGACAACCAAGGACCCCUCAAAAACCUGAGGACCACAAGCAGUGAGCGAGUCGCGGUUUGUCACUUGGAGGAGGCCCAUCACGUGAGGCUGGGUCUAUUUCCUGGAGGCUGUAGGUACCGGAGCAGAUCUGGUGCACACAAAUAAUAGAAAACAUUUCCGCUGUAGAAAACACAUCUGAACUUUUUCAUAUUUUGGUUUUGUGAAAUUGCCAUCAACAUUAUAUCUACUUAAUAGAUACACACAC